UAACGAUACGGGACUCAUCCGAGGCCCCGUAAUCGGAAUGAGUACACUUUAAAUCCUUUACCGAGGAUCCAUUGGAGGGCAAGUCUGGUGCCAGCAGCCGCGGUAAUUCCAGCUCCAAUAGCGUAUAUUAAAGUUGUUGCGGUUAAAAAGCUCGUAGUUGAAUCUGUGUGCCACGCUGUCGGUUCAUCGCUCGCGAUGUUUAACUGACAUGACUGUGGGACGUCCUACCGGUGAGCUUAGCCCUCUUCCUCGGAGGAGGGCGGCUCAGCUAAUAUCCCAUCGCGGUGCUUUUAAUCGAGUGUCGAGGUGGGCCGGUACGUUUACUUUGAACAAAUUAGAGUGCUCAAAGCAGGCCAUUCUCGCCUGAAUACUGUGUGCAUGGAAUAAUGGAAUAGGACCUCGGUUCUAUUUUGUUGGUUUUCGGAACCCCGAGGUAAUGAUUAAUAGGGACAGAUGGGGGCAUUCGUAUUGCGACGUUAGAGGUGAAAUUCUUGGAUCGUCGCAAGACGGACAGAAGCGAAAGCAUUUGCCAAAAAUGUUUUCAUUAAUCAAGAACGAAAGUUAGAGGUUCGAAGGCGAUCAGAUACCGCCCUAGUUCUAACCAUAAACGAUGCCAGCUAGCGAUCCGCCGUAGUUCCUUAGAUGACUCGGCGGGCAGCUUCCGGGAAACCAAAGCUUUUGGGUUCCGGGGGAAGUAUGGUUGCAAAGCUGAAACUUAAAGGAAUUGACGGAAGGGCACCACCAGGAGUGGAGCCUGCGGCUUAAUUUGACUCAACAC
rnacentral:rRNA from 1 species